CCUACGGGUGGCUGCAGUAGGGAAUAUUGGGCAAUGGGCGCAAGCCUGACCCAGCCAUGCCGCGUGCAGGAAGAAGGCCCUCCGGGUUGUAAACUGCUUUUGCGGGGGAAGAAGGGCCGCGCCGAGGCGCGGUGUGACGGUACCCCGCGAAUCAGCCACGGCUAACUACGUGCCAGCAGCCGCGGUAAUACGUAGGUGGCGAGCGUUGUCCGGAUUUAUUGGGUCUAAAGGGUGCGUAGGCGGGCGGCUAAGUCGGGGGUGAAAGACGGUGGCUC
rnacentral:rRNA from 1 species